ACAAAGGAAGUAGAAAAGUAGGGUCAUACUUAAUUAUUUCCUAUGGCUUCCCCCUAAUUAAUAACUAGAAGCAUACUUCACGCGUUGCUGCGGGAAUUGUGGAUUAGUGGAUGUAUAAUAUCAUGAUGUAAACUAUACUUAUUUGUCUUGCUGAUGUGAACACUACAGUUGUCGUGUGUUGUUGGAUUUUAAUUGUAUAUAUGUGGUAGUGCAUUGCAUGUUGAGAUAAAUAGUUAUUGAGGUUUUACUUAGUGAAUUUUAAUUCAAUAUGGUAGUAUAUUGUUUAGUGAAUAGCUUGCAUGUUUAGAGAAAUAGUUAGUGGGGUUUUGAAUUAUAAGAGUUAUAGAUACGACGAGCCCAAGUCGUUUCUCCUGUUUUUUUUUUUUUCGAGCAAGCAAGCGUCGAUGCUGUGGUUUCGCCAAUUUUCAGGUAAUAAUAAUUACUGUCCUUGCACAGCAGAAAAUAAAAUGCUUAUCUGACUGACGGUACAUUUAACGCUACAUACAAAAGUUAUCCUAACUAGAGAGUUGAGCAUGCCCUUAAAUACAUGUCAAAACCAGCCCAAACUGUACAAAGCAGAGCCUAACCAAUCCAACCCAUAAAAGGAUUGCUCAAUUUCUGGCCUGGUCUAAGAAAGCCCAACCAACAAUUCCUUUGGCUUUGUUCAAUUCGCAAAUUUUUUUGGAUUUCGAUAUUGUAGCAUUUUCGUUUUUAUUUGACAAAUGUCCAAUCAUGGAGUAACUAGAUUUAAAAGAUUCGUCUCGUGAUUUACAGAUGAACUGUGCAAUUAGUUUUUGUUUUCAUGUAUAUUUAAUGCAUCAUGCAUGUGCCGUAAAAUUUGAUGUGAUGAAAAAUCUUGAAAAAUUUUGGUAACUGAACAAGGCAAUCUGGCCCGAUACAAACUACCUGCGUCGUGAAUCGAAACCAACCACAGUUUGGGCUUGGAAACCGCUUACCAACCCAGCCUUAUUUCACCACAUCUCUUGCGCACAAACCCACUUGCCCUGGAGUAUUUCUUUAUUUUUUAAAAUGGUAGGAGACUUUGUCAAAAAAAAAGUAGGGGAAAAAUUACAUGAAAUAAGAAGCACAACUUAAGCUUAACGGCAAGUGACGUUUCAUGAGGUAAUAACUCGGCGUACAAGAAAUUCUAGUUACUCUCAUCUUCAAUAAACUACAUUGUGUAUGUAUUCAUACUUGU
rnacentral:lncRNA from 1 species